AGAAAUUUUAUUUUUCAACAAAACCUGUUCCACUGUACCAAACACUUCCUUAAUCAAUAGAUAGCACAUAUCAUGGAUUACCCUACAAGGACCCUAUGCAAAUCUCAUGGUUUUUAACAAGGACAAUUUCUAGCCUGUGGCUGUGAUGACGCCGAAAACUACUACGACUAUUCAUUUCUGUUUUUAAUUUUCUCUUCAUUUUUAUUUCCCUUUUUCAAAAAAUAAAAUAAAGCCAUUUUCCACAUGGCUUACAAAAUAGAUGAACUGUACACACCCUCAUGGCCAACGGUCCAUUCUUCUUUAUUUCCUUUUCUCACCUUUGUUUUCCCCCCUAUAUUUAUUUAAAUGAAUGCACCAAUUUAUAGAACAAGAACCAUAGAAGCAAAAAAACCUAGCAUUUCUAUUUUAAUGUACUGUCCUUCCUACAAUCUUUUUCUUACUACUACUACAAUCACUAUCUCUAGUUACUAUAAUGAAAGAUCUUGAAGAACAAAUCAACCUUGAAACUCCAGCCCAUUAUCAUGACUUCUCUACUUCAUUUUCAUCCUCUAAUAGCUUAAAUUCUCCUUCAACCAUCACCACUUCUUCUUCGUCCUCCUCCUCCUUCCUGAAGAGCAAUACGAAAAUCUCAAUAGAAUAUAAAGUGAAAACAAUCUCAAAAGAAGUUCAAGAAUUCAACUACAAAGCAAAUGAUCAUAUUGGUGGCACCGAUGAGAACAGGAAGAGAAGGAAAAAAGAAGGCGAUGACAAGCAUCCGACAUAUAGAGGAGUUCGUAAGAGGAAUUGGGGAAAAUGGUGUCCGAAAUUCGAGAGCCAAGGAAAAAAUCAAGAAUAUGGUUUGGAGCUUAUUCAACGGCUGAAAUGGCAGCUUGAGCUCAUGAUGUCGCGGCUUUAGCCAUCAAAGACACUCGGCUUACCUUAAUUUUCCUUAUUUAGCUGAUCAACUCCCACGACCAGCUUCUAUUUCCCCUAAGGACAUUCAAAUCGCGGCUGCAAAAGCCGCUGCCACCACAUUUCCCGAGGAAAUGAAGUCUCGAGCCGAACCCAGCCAUGAAAUCUCGAGCCCAAUCGAGCUACAGAGUUCAUGUUCAUCCACCGACUUAUCAACGGACAACGAUGAUACAUUUUUCAACCUGCCUGAUCUUUCAAUCAAUAAAGUAGAUCAAAUUGGCCGUUAUUCUGAUCCAAUUUCAACUUGGCCGCAGGUUGAAGCCGAUGUUGGAUUCUGGCUCGAGGAGCCAUUUUUAUGGGAGAGCCACUAGAAAACAAACAAAACACUUAAAAAAACCAACCAUUAUAGCAAAAGCCAAAUUUUGUAAACUCGUGUUCAUAUAUAUCUACCAUAGUUUUCUACUUUAAUGAAUUUCUUGUUUAUGCUGAACCAAACAACAAUAAUAAAAAUGCUUCACUGUAACAAUUAGAGAGCAAUUGCCGCCCAUGCUGGAUGUCAAGGUCGAACUCCUCCUGUGUAAAUUUCCUCAUAUUAGCAAAUGUAGAUAAAUGGAGAAGGGUUGGGAUGUUUGUUUACCCUCAAAAUCGAAUAACAAUUAAAUUUGUAGUGGUUUUAAAGAUACGCUGAUUAAUUUGAUACUAAGUGACAAGUUGAGUUAGAUUGAACAAACAAAGAUGAAAUAAAUUCAAAUCACACGAGGAGGAUAAUUCCAGCCUUAGUGAAGUAUUCACCCCCGAUCUAGACUUGCAAUGGCCAACACUGAUGAACAAGAAAAAGAGCUAACAACAGAGAAAAUAAUAAUAUAUUGCUUUGGAAUGCGUGUAACAAUCUGUUUCAUGAAUUAUCAGACAUCCUUUUAUAUAGUAGGGGAGUCCUACUUUAGGUACAAUUUUGUAAAAGGUAAAAAAAUCUUUUGAUUAACUAACUGUCGGUUCUUUAUCGAUACGUGUCGAGAUCCCCGCUGUCACACCCCUUUUUUUACAAGCUUCACUAACCCUCUUAUAUAAAUAAAAAGAUUUAGUAAAGCUCGACAGGGUUUUUCAAUUAGAAAGUGACAAAAAAUUGUGUUCAAAAGAAAAUAACUCAGAGCCACCACCUGACAUUUGAUUUCGGUGUGUCCGGUCACCGUUUUUUUUUUCUAAAAAUAAUUUUUUCCUUUCAAAGCACUUGAGACUCCAAAACUAAGUCUGCACCAGAGAUUCGGGUAAGAGGUUCAUUUGACUCGGGGAGAAGGUGUUAGGCACUCCCCAAGUUCUGUAACUAGUACGGUUGCAUACUCGAUCUAGUUAGCUUUUAAAAUAUUCAAGUUGAGGUAAAGUCACAGAAAAGAAAAUACACACAAAAAGGCUAGAAGUCGUCCCCACCUAAUAAAAGAAAAAUAAAAAUAAAUAAAAGCUAGCCUACAUUAUACUUCCUCCAUGGUGUUCGUCACAGCUUCCAAAUACAUGUACUACGGGGGCAUACCCCGGAUAAAGUAUAUACAAAUCCUUCGGGGCAUUCCCCGGAUAAAUUUAACUAAGGGAACGACCUCUCGCCUCAUAAAUUCAAAUAAAAUCCUAAAGGUUUGCCUACCCAAGUGUGGCCGGCCGAGACAUGUUUCUAGCGGGUAAAUUAAUAAAUGCAAAGAAUGAAAUGAGGGAAAUCAACCUAAGCUAAAAUCAUUUUAAUCGCUAGUUAUCAAAAAAUCCGUCUUAGCAUCCCAAAUCGUUUUUGAAUCUUCAAAUCCCGAACCUCAAUCCCAUUUCUGUUCAUAAGCAUCAUCUAUCCAUUAAUUUCUAUGUGUGAUUCAGCACAUACAAGUAAUUCAAAGCCGACAUUACAAGUAACAAAUGUACAAGGACCUAGACCCCAACCAAAAAUAAGCAAACAAGCUCAACUAAAAUAAAACAAAAAGGCAAUUUGACAGAACUUAAACCAACCAAGAACAUUAAGCCAUUAUCAUGUAAUUAGUAUAGCACAUGAGAAAUAACAACACGCAUAAUAAAGAGAAGGAGAUGAGAGGGACCUCAAAAACAGAAUCUGAUUGCAACCGUUCGAAAGAUUGGAAGCAUGAAUACUCGAGAUGGCAUACAAGUACUUGACAGAAACUUUGGAACAAGACCUGGACCGGAAAAUCGAUUGGCGACCUCCAUCGGCAACAAGAACUCAAACUUUAAAAACGAGAAAAAAGCAGGAUGUAGCGGGUGACAAGUGAUAUGAAACUCGACUGGGCAGAAACAACUUUAGCAACAAAUGGCAAAUUCGACCUAAAACAAAACCUCUUAGAAAUCCAGAUUUUAGAAGCU
rnacentral:lncRNA from 1 species